rnacentral:rRNA from 1 species
CCUACGGGGGGCAGCAGUGAGGAAUAUUGGUCAAUGGGCGUAAGCCUGAACCAGCCAAGUCGCGUGAGGGAUGAAGGUUCUAUGGAUCGUAAACCUCUUUUAUAAGGGAAUAAAGUGCGGGACGUGUCCCGUUUUGUAUGUACCUUAUGAAUAAGGAUCGGCUAACUCCGUGCCAGCAGCCGCGGUAAUACGGAGGAUCCGAGCGUUUACCGGAUUUCUUGGGUUUAAAGGGUGCGUAGGCGGCCUUUUAAGUCAGCGGUGAAAGUUUGUGGCUCAACCAUAGAAUUGCCGUUGAAACUGGGAGUCUUGAGUAUGUUUGAGGCAGGCGGAAUGCGUGGUGUAGCGGUGAAAUGCUUAGAUAUCACGCAGAACCCCGAUUGCGAAGGCAGCCUGCCAAGCCAUGACUGACGCUGAUGCACGAAAGCGUGGGGAUCAAACAGGAUUAGAUACCCCAGUAGUC